rfam:Schistosoma curassoni strain Dakar, Senegal genome assembly, scaffold: SCTD_scaffold0001366
AUCCAACUGACGAGUCCCAAAAAGGACGAAACGCUCGUCUUGUAU